rfam:Halobacillus mangrovi strain KTB 131, complete genome.
AAUCGUGCGUUGAAGGAUUGGAGUAGAAAACAAAUCAAUGCUACAGAGAACUGACGGGUGGUGCAAGUCAGUGCAAAUUUGUUUUUGAAUUACGACCUGGAGCAAUCUUCUGGUAUGAAUCAGAAGACGGUGAUGUGAAGCCGUUAUCUAUUGAAGUGGCACUUAAUGUGCAACAAGGGUGGUACCGCGAAGAGACCUCGUCCCUUUU